rnacentral:rRNA from 4 species
AGAAUUUGAUCUUGGUUCAGAUUGAACGCUGGCGGCGUGGAUGAGGCAUGCAAGUCGAACGGAAUAAUGACUUCGGUUGUUAUUUAGUGGCGGAAGGGUUAGUAAUACAUAGAUAAUCUGUCCUCAACUUGGGAAUAACGGUUGGAAACGACCGCUAAUACCGAAUGUGGUAUGUUUAGGCAUCUAAAACAUAUUAAAGAAGGGGAUCUUCGGACCUUUCGGUUGAGGGAGAGUCUAUGGGAUAUCAGCUUGUUGGUGGGGUAAUGGCCUACCAAGGCUUUGACGUCUAGGCGGAUUGAGAGAUUGACCGCCAACACUGGGACUGAGACACUGCCCAGACUUCUACGGAAGGCUGCAGUCGAGAAUCUUUCGCAAUGGACGAAAGUCUGACGAAGCGACGCCGCGUGUGUGAUGAAGGCUCUAGGGUUGUAAAGCACUUUCGCUUGGGAAUAAGAGAGAUUGGCUAAUAUCCAAUCGAUUUGAGCGUACCAGGUAAAGAAGCACCGGCUAACUCCGUGCCAGCAGCUGCGGUAAUACGGAGGGUGCUAGCGUUAAUCGGAUUUAUUGGGCGUAAAGGGCGUGUAGGCGGAAAGGAAAGUUAGAUGUUAAAUCUUGGGGCUCAACCCCAAGCCAGCAUCUAAUACUAUCUUUCUAGAGGGUAGAUGGAGAAAAGGGAAUUCCACGUGUAGCGGUGAAAUGCGUAGAUAUGUGGAAGAACACCAGUGGCGAAGGCGCUUUUCUAAUUUACACCUGACGCUAAGGCGCGAAAGCAAGGGGAGCAAACAGGAUUAGAUACCCUGGUAGUCCUUGCCGUAAACGAUGCAUACUUGAUGUGGAUAGUCUCAACCCUAUCCGUGUCGUAGCUAACGCGUUAAGUAUGCCGCCUGAGGAGUACACUCGCAAGGGUGAAACUCAAAAGAAUUGACGGGGGCCCGCACAAGCAGUGGAGCAUGUGGUUUAAUUCGAUGCAACGCGAAGAACCUUACCUGGGCUUGACAUGUAUUUGACCGCGGCAGAAAUGUCGUUUUCCGCAAGGACAGAUACACAGGUGCUGCAUGGCUGUCGUCAGCUCGUGCCGUGAGGUGUUGGGUUAAGUCCCGCAACGAGCGCAACCCUUAUCGUUAGUUGCCAACACUUAGGGUGGGAACUCUAACGAGACUGCCUGGGUUAACCAGGAGGAAGGCGAGGAUGACGUCAAGUCAGCAUGGCCCUUAUGCCCAGGGCUACACACGUGCUACAAUGGCCAGUACAGAAGGUAGCAAUAUCGUGAGAUGGAGCAAAUCCUCAAAGCUGGCCCCAGUUCGGAUUGUAGUCUGCAACUCGACUACAUGAAGUCGGAAUUGCUAGUAAUGGCGUGUCAGCUAUAACGCCGUGAAUACGUUCCCGGGCCUUGUACACACCGCCCGUCACAUCAUGGGAGUUGGUUUUGCCUUAAGUCGUUGACUCAACCUGCAAAGGAGAGAGGCGCCCAAGGUGAGGCUGAUGACUGGGAUGAAGUCGUAACAAGGUAGCCCUACCGGAAGGUGGGGCUGGAUCACCU